rnacentral:tRNA from 1 species
GCAGUCGUGGCCGAGUGGUUAAGGCGAUGGACCAGAAAUCCAUUUGUGUCUCCCCGCACAGGUUCGAAUCCUGUCGACUGCG